rnacentral:rRNA from 1 species
CAGCAGCCGCGGGAAUACAGAGGGUGCGAGCGUUAAUCGGAUUUACUGGGCGUAAAGCGUGCGUAGGCGGCUAAUUGAGUCGGAUGUGAAAUCCCCGAGCUUAACUUGGGAAUUGCAUUCGAUACUGGUUAGCUAGAGUGUGGGAGAGGAUGGUAGAAUUCCAGGUGUAGCGGUGAAAUGCGUAGAGAUCUGGAGGAAUACCGAUGGCGAAGGCAGCCAUCUGGCCUAACACUGACGCUGAGGUACGAAAGCAUGGGGAGCAAACAGGAUAAGAGACCCCCGUAGUCCCUGUCUCUUAUAC